UCUCCCAAAAAAAAGAGUACAACAGUACAAAUGCAUGGACAGCUUCUUUCAUUUCAUGGAGAUGCACACAUGCGCAUAUAAGCAAACCACCAUGCCUUGUUCUGCAGAGUUUGAAAAGAGUAAAACAUACAUUUUCAGUGUUGCAAAUACAAAACCCCGGUUCGCUAUACCAUCCAUUUAAGUAAACCAGUUGGCUAUACCAUCCAUAUAAGUAAACCAGUUCGCUCUACCAUCAGAUGAUGAUACACCACAUAUCGUAAACAUAACUAUAAAGAAAUACA
rnacentral:misc_RNA from 1 species